UCCGGAGUUGGGGAGUCCCCUCAGCCUAGAUUGUGAGAGGACACAGGCCAGGCUGAGGGACCCCCACCAGUGCAUG
rnacentral:pre_miRNA from 1 species